CCCGGUCAAAAGUAUGGUGAAGUUUUCUUCUUCAGGACAUGAGUUUGCGUUUUGUGGUUUAACAAAGAGAAAGAGAGAGACUGGUCCCCCUUGUGCCACCAAAACAGCUCUGAACCGUCGAGGCAUGGACUCCACAAGUCCCUGGAUGGUGUGUUGUGAAUCAGACCGACUGAAUGAAAUAGCUGGUGAUCAACCUGACCACACACACGAUGCCCAAAGUCCCCAAGCUGGAUGUUUGCACAGGAAACGGUAGCUGGGUCAUGGGGGCAGGAAGGUGAGACGGUCAGUUCAGACUUACCUAUCCCCAGCCACAGAUUCCAGCUCCUCCUGGAGGAUCCCCAGAUGUUUCCAAGAUAACUGUAAUACAUGCACAUCUUGCCAGCAGGACUGCCUUGGGGUACUGAUCAUGUGGAAUUUGCCUGAUAUAGCUCUAGUACCAGAGCCAUCCAUGGGGCAUCCUUUUAAGAUGCCCAAAG
ensembl:lncRNA